ACGAGAAACGUCGCUCACACGAUCACAAGUUCCCACACAAGUAGUCUGGCAGACCACGUUUAUUGCAAGUGCUCUAGUACCGAACACGGGUCUAUAGCUCAGUUGGUUAGAGCGCACCCCUGAUAAGGGUGAGGCCGGUGGUUCGAGUCCACCUAGACCCACCACUCUUGCAUCGCAAAAGGUUUUCAGGGGCCAUAGCUCAGCUGGGAGAGCGCCUGCCUUGCACGCAGGAGGUCGUCGGUUCGAUCCCGUCUGGCUCCACCACUUUCUGAUUCACCCAGAAUCGAAAGGCAUUGCAAUAAAUGUACACAACCACGGUAACUUCAGAAGUCACCGCAAAGCAGCCCUGUGGGCUGCUUUGCACUGGCUUUUGUCGGUUCAACCUAAGUAGAUAGGUCGUUCUUUAACAAAAUGGAAAAAUAUCAAGGCGAAAUGUAUAACUGAGAAGAUUAUAUAUCUCAAGAUUGAUCGUUACGAGAUUAUAGACACUCUGUAACCCGAGUUUACCGCACAAAAGGUAGUAGACUGUUUCGGGUUAUAG
rnacentral:tRNA from 1 species